rnacentral:tRNA from 1 species
CGGGCUGUGGCGUAGUUUGGUAACGCGUCUGGCUGGGGGCCAGAAGACCGCAGGUUCAAAUCCUGUCAGCCCGACCC